AGGGCACCCACACUGCCCUGUGCAUAGGCAUUCAGUCAACAUCCCGGGAAUGUGGGUCCUCAGCCUUCCGACGGCAGCAGCCCUCUGCCUUCCAUCACGUAACCCCAGUACACAAGGUGAUCCGAGAGAAGCAGGAUUCCGUACAAUUGUUCCCAAAUCUCCCUUCUCCAUAACCACCAGGCACAACUCUCUGACACUAAAGACAAUUACAGUUGAGGUUCUUUGGCCUCCUCAGCCUUCUAGGGGAAGUGCUAUUGCUCUCUGAAACUUUCAAAUUGCAAAAUCACAAGGAAAAAAAAGAGGGAUGAGGAGGAUAAAAGUCAAACGGAGAGUCUUACGUCAAAGACUCUCCAGAAAGUUUGGAAAAGAAAAGUGUUAUGGCAGGCAUUGGUUCAUGGAGUGGCUUCAUCAAAAUUCCCAGGAUUAGCGUCUGAGCUCACCAAAUUCCUACUGAGUCAACAUCUUUAGAGACAAAGAGUUUGACCAGGUCCUGUAUUUUAUCUUACUGUGCGGCAUGGCCCUACCUUGGACCAUGCAACAAUGUACAUUGAAGAUGACACCAACUACAGAGCAGGAUUUGCCUGAGAAAAAUUCAUUUGACCAUUAUUCUCAAUGCAGAAUCCAUGUAAACUGAGUCUUUCAGAACCUUUUCUUGUAUUUCAUUAACUUGAGGGUAAAUUAUAGAUUUUCUGGGUUUAUUUUUUAA